UAGGGAAUCUUCGGCAAUGGACGGAAGUCUGACCGAGCAACGCCGCGUGAGUGAAGAAGGUUUUCGGAUCGUAAAGCUCUGUUGUAAGAGAAGAACGAGUGUGAGAGUGGAAAGUUCACACUGUGACGGUAACUUACCAGAAAGGGACGGCUAACUACGUGCCAGCAGCCGCGGUAAUACGUAGGUCCCGAGCGUUAUCCGGAUUUAUUGGGCGUAAAGCGAGCGCAGGCGGUUAGAUAAGUCUGAAGUUAAAGGCUGUGGCUUAACCAUAGUACGCUUUGGAAACUGUUUAACUUGAGUGCAGAAGGGGAGAGUGGAAUUCCAUGUGUAGCGGUGAAAUGCGUAGAUAUAUGGAGGAACACCGGUGGCGAAAGCGGCUCUCUGGCUUGUAACUGACGCUGAGGCUCGAAAGCGUGGGGAGCAAACAGGAUUAGAUACCCUGGUAGUCCACGCCGUAACGAUGAGUGCUAGGUGUUAGACCCUUUCCGGGGUUUAGUGCCGUAGCUAACGCAUUAAGCACUCCGCCUGGGGAGUACGACCGCAAGGUUG
rnacentral:rRNA from 1 species